CCUGCGGAGGGAUCAUUACCGAGUUUACAACUCCCAAACCCCUGUGAACAUACCUAUACGUUGCCUCGGCGGAUCAGCCCGCGCCCCGUAAAACGGGACGGCCCGCCCGAGGACCCCUAAACUCUGUUUUUAGUGGAACUUCUGAGUAAAACAAACAAAUAAAUCAAAACUUUCAACAACGGAUCUCUUGGUUCUGGCAUCGAUGAAGAACGCAGCAAAAUGCGAUAAGUAAUGUGAAUUGCAGAAUUCAGUGAAUCAUCGAAUCUUUGAACGCACAUUGCGCCCGCCAGUAUUCUGGCGGGCAUGCCUGUUCGAGCGUCAUUUCAACCCUCAAGCUCAGCUUGGUGUUGGGACUCGCGGUAACCCGCGUUCCCCAAAUCGAUUGGCGGUCACGUCGAGCUUCCAUAGCGUAGUAAUCAUACACCUCGUUACUGGUAAUCGUCGCGGCCACGCCGUUAAACCCCAACUUCUGAAUGU
rnacentral:sRNA from 1 species